rnacentral:rRNA from 1 species
AUUGAACGCUGGCGGCAUGCCUUACACAUGCAAGUCGAACGGCAGCACGGACUUCGGUCUGGUGGCGAGUGGCGAACGGGUGAGUAAUGUAUCGGAACGUACCUUUCAGUGGGGGAUAACGUAGCGAAAGUUACGCUAAUACCGCAUAUUCUGUGAGCAGGAAAGCAGGGGAUCGAAAGACCUUGCGCUGAUUGAGCGGCCGAUAUCAGAUUAGCUAGUUGGUGGGGUAAAGGCCUACCAAGGCGACGAUCUGUAGCGGGUCUGAGAGGAUGAUCCGCCACACUGGAACUGAGACACGGUCCAGACUCCUACGGGAGGCAGCAGUGGGGAAUUUUGGACAAUGGGGGCAACCCUGAUCCAGCCAUGCCGCGUGAGUGGAGAAGGCCUUCGGGUUGUAAAGCUCUUUCGGCCGGGAAGAAAUCGCAUAGGCUAAUACCCUGUGUGGAUGACGGUACCGGAAGAAGAAGCACCGGCUAACUACGUG